GCAGUGGUGGUUGAGUGGUACAAUUCUUGCCCUCCAUACAGUAGACCCAGGUUUGAUUCCCGGCCAAUGCA
rnacentral:tRNA from 1 species